rnacentral:rRNA from 1 species
UACGUAGGGGGCAAGCGUUGUCCGGAAUCAUUGGGCGUAAAGCGCGCGUAGGCGGCCCGGUAAGUCCGUUGUGAAAGUCAAAGGCUCAACCUUUGAACGCCGAUGGAUACUGCCGGGCUAGAGUCCGGAAGAGGCGAGUGGAAUUCCUGGUGUAGCGGUGGAAUGCGCAGAUAUCAGGAGGAACACCGGUGGCGAAGGCGGGUCUCGUGGGCAAACAACGUGACGCUGAGGAGCGAAAGCGUGGGGAGCGAACAGG